rfam:Phlebiopsis gigantea 11061_1 CR5-6 unplaced genomic scaffold PHLGIscaffold_85, whole genome shotgun sequence.
GCCCGUUUAGCUCAGUGGUAGAGCGCGCCACUCGUAUUGCUUCGUUAUGGUGAGGUCGGUUGUUCAAUCCAGCCAAUGGGCA